UGAUGGAGGGGGAUAACUACUGGAAACGGUAGCUAAUACCGCAUAAUGUCGCAAGACCAAAGUGGGGGACCUUCGGGCCUCAUGCCAUCAGAUGUGCCCAGAUGGGAUUAGCUAGUAGGUGGGGUAACGGCUCACCUAGGCGACGAUCCCUAGCUGGUCUGAGAGGAUGACCAGCCACACUGGAACUGAGACACGGUCCAGACUCCUACGGGAGGCAGCAGUGGGGAAUAUUGCACAAUGGGCGCAAGCCUGAUGCAGCCAUGCCGCGUGUGUGAAGAAGGCCUUCGGGUUGUAAAGCACUUUCAGCGGGGAGGAAGGCG
rnacentral:rRNA from 1 species